GCCCCAAUAAUCACUAACUCAUUUUUCUCCCCCACUAGUCAUGUUCAUCUUCUUUUUUUUUUGGCCCUUUAUGAGGGAAGUUUGCAUUUUCUUGAUACAUUUGUGUUCUCCAUUUUAAUUUUCCAGGGAAAUGUAGUGUUGCACCCUGGGUAUCUUUGCUUGGCCUUUUCUGGUUCUGGACUUUUCUGCUGAAGGAAACCCCUAAUUGGAGUUCCUGACUGAGUGGACCACCUACCAGACUGCCUCCCAUGCUCUGCAGGAAGGUCCAGAAGAAAUAGACAUGGACUGGGAAUCAGAAACACAGAAAAUACAAAUUCUGACCUUAUUAGUUCUACCAGCUGUGACACUAUGAGUGAGUCAUUUAUCCUGUGCCUGAGAAACUGAACUUGGCAGUAAGGAAAUAGACCUCGGGGAACCCAGCUGCCUGGAUUGAAGCACCAGCUGUUUCUAGGACUGACUGGAAGGACAGCUGCCCAUCUCCUGGAGGCUUCAGGCUUGAGGGAUAUUCUAACAUUUCCACUAGGGGAAGAGAGCCACUCCUCAGCACUACCACUCUAACAGGCUGGCUCAUUGCCAACUAAAUCCACGAAUUCCCAGGGUUACACUGUGAUGAUUCAGUUCCUUUACCACAAGGUAGAUUUCUACUCUCAGCCUCAAUUGAUCUUUUUUCUCUUUGCCAAAAUCCUUUAUAAUAUUGGCAAUAUUUCAGUCUUCAAAUUAAUUGUGUGUUUCCACUCACAUAGUAACCUACAACUCAGUGAUACUGGUGUUCCAAGACUAUUAGUUCAAAUCCCAUUGAGAUCACUAAACGUCCUAUGACUUUAAAAUGGUCACACUUUUGAAGUUUAGCAGAGAAUAUGUUAUUGGAUACGGCCACUCUAUUAUUUGCGUGUAUAAUCCUGUUUUCCAUGUUUACAUUGGAAUUUCAACUAAUCUUGCUUUUAAGUGCAUCUAUUUUGGCCACACUAUUCUUCAUGAGUUGAAGAAUCUCCCCAAAUACAUACUCAUUUUUCUUUGUAUAAACAUUUAUUUAGUCUGGUCCAGGCACUUUUCUAGCAGCAGAGUACUCAGGGAUUGAUAGAAUAUAUUGUCUGCUCUCCAGGUAGAUCUAGUCUAAUGCAUGAGGGAAAUGUAAGAAAAUAAAAACAAGUAGCUAAAGGAGCAUGUCCUGUCCCAAACCCCACAUCCUUCUCUAAAGCUAUUUUUGGAUUACGUAGAUGCAGAGAAUUGAUUAUAAUUCCUAUAAAAUAAAGUAUCAUAAAAUAUG